UCGAGGAUCUUCGGCAAUGGGCGCAAGCCUGACCGAGCGACGCCGCGUGCGGGAUGAAGGCCUUCGGGUUGUAAACCGCUGUCGGAGGGGAGGAAAUGGUAGGGGGUUCUCCCCCUAUCUUGACCUAUCCUCGGAGGAAGUACGGGCUAAGUUCGUGCCAGCAGCCGCGGUAAGACGAACCGUACGAACGUUAUUCGGAAUCACUGGGCUUAAAGGGUGCGUAGGCGGCGCGGAAAGUUGGGUGUGAAAGCCCUCGGCUCAACCGAGGAAUGGCGCCCAAAACUUCCGUGCUUGAGGGAGAUAGAGGUGAGCGGAACUUAGGGUGGAGCGGUGAAAUGCGUUGAUAUCCUAAGGAACACCGGUGGCGAAAGCGGCUCACUGGAUCUCUUCUGACGCUGAGGCACGAAAGCUAGGGUAGCGAACG
rnacentral:rRNA from 1 species